GGAAGUCCGAAAACAAGCGUUCCGGAAACGGCCAUGCCAAGUUGCCGGUUCAUGAGUCCGUCACCAAACGAGGUGGUUUGCAGCUGCUCGCGCUGACAGACAGAGGAGCGGCUCCUGGACGUUUGUCGGUGGCUUCUGCUGCGGUUCUAAACGAGGUUGCUAUAGCUUCAGUUGUCCAGCAGAUGGCACCGCCACGAGUUUUGAAGCUUCCAACUGUGUCCGGCACAAUUGUCACGAAAGCCUGAGUGCUUCACCAGACUUGACUGUCCAGUGGAGACAUGAGCCUGGACCUUGGUGAACUGAUGCAGCCUUUAGUGUCAGCACCAGUCGUGACCAUGAGGUGUGUUCAGCCAAUCAGGAGGAGAGUGGGGGGGCGGAGCUAUCCUGCAGCCAAUCAGCACGGAGCAGUGAUCACACCUGCAGACGAUCAUCUCAUCACCUGCUGGCUCCUGCAGCAGCUUUGUCUGGUAGAAGCUUGCUCCUAAGAAGGUUGAACCGAAGAUGGUUCCUUGCUGCAGCCACCACAGGUGAGUCAGUUGUGAGCAGCAGAAUGACUUGGUUUCCUGCAGACUCAUGUGCUCCUGGAUGCCCUGAGAGCCACUUCCUGCUGUGAUACACAGGAAGUGCAGACACCAGCUGAAGCUGUGACACAGGAAGUGCUGGGACAUGACAGGAAGUGCAGGUUGGUGACUUGGCAGCACAACUUUCUUUGAGACUGCUCUUGUCUCUACAGAUGUCAGCGGAAGCAGCUUCUGUUAGCUUUGAAAGUUCUUUUCUCCUGAGGUGUGUCAGCUGGAGCCACUUCCUGCUGUGACCUGGAAGUGGACUUUGACAGGUGAGAAGGUCUGGUUCUGUCUUUGCAGGUCUGGCUGUUGGAGCUCCACUCUCCACCAAGGUGAGAAGACUUGGCUGGUGUUGCAGAGGCUCAGAAGAGAGCUGUUUCUCUGUAACAGGUGGUUAUUCUGUCUGCAGUGAGCAGCAGCAGGUAAGAACUGGAGACAGCGCUGGUUUUAUCAUGUUUUUAUUGACAGACAUUUGCUCAUUGGACACAAGUGUGAGGAUCUGCAGCUUCAGGUGAGUUUCUUUGCAAGUUGAAUCACAUCUUGUUUUGCAGGUCUUCAAGCCUCUGGAGAAAAAGAAGUUUAUGGUGAGCAUGUUUUUGUUCCCUUUUUCUACUGUAUUAAAAGCUAAGGGGCUCACACCUGAUGAUUGAUUCUGUCUCUUGCAGGACACUUGUCUCCCAUCUGGUCGAUCUGCACAAGACAAGAGUCACAAGCAUGUUUCAACUGUCCUUGGUCAAUAAAACAUGAACACAACUGUGGUUUCUUAAUAAAAUCAUGAGUCAGCAGGUCUCUGUCCUCAUGUGACUCCACGACACAGCAAUGUUCAUGGAGGUGUCACUGCCCUAUUUGCUUCUUCAUCCCGUUUUGCUUC